UACGGGGGGGGGCAAGCGUUGUUCGGAAUUACUGGGCGUAAAGGGCUCGUAGGUGGCCAACUAAGUCGGACGUGAAAUCCCUCGGCUUAACCGGGGAACUGCGUCCGAUACUGGUUGGCUUGAGUUUGGGAGAGGGAUGCGGAAUUCCAGGUGUAGCGGUGAAAUGCGUAGAUAUCUGGAGGAACACCGGUGGCGAAGGCGGCAUCCUGGACCAAUAUUGACGCUGAGGAGCGAAAGCCAGGGGAGCAAACGGG
rnacentral:rRNA from 1 species